CCUUUAGAUACCCGGGUAGUCCACGCCGUAAACGAUGUCUACUUGGAGGUUGUGGCCUUGAGCCGUGGCUUUCGGAGCUAACGCGUUAAGUAGACCGCCUGGGGAGUACGGUCGCAAGAUUAAAACUCAAAUGAAUUGACGGGGGCCCGCACAAGCGGUGGAGCAUGUGGUUUAAUUCGAUGCAACGCGAAGAACCUUACCUACUCUUGACAUCCAGAGAACUUAGCAGAGAUGCUUUGGUGCCUUCGGGAACUCUGAGACAGGUGCUGCAUGGCCGCCGUCAG
rnacentral:rRNA from 1 species